AUUGAACGCUGGCGGCAGGCCUAACACAUGCAAGUCGAACGGUAACAGGAAGAAGCUUGCUUCUUUGCUGACGAGUGGCGGACGGGUGAGUAAUGUCUGGGAAACUGCCUGAUGGAGGGGGAUAACUACUGGAAACGGUAGCUAAUACCGCAUAACGUCGCAAGACCAAAGAGGGGGACCUUCGGGCCUCUUGCCCUCGGAUGUGCCCAGAUGGGAUUAGCUAGUGGGUGGGGUAACGGCUCACCUAGGCGACGAUCCCUAGCUGGUCUGAGAGGAUGACCAGCCACACUGGAACUGAGACACGGUCCAGACUCCUACGGGAGGCAGCAGUGGGGAAUAUUGCACAAUGGGCGCAAGCCUGAUGCAGCCAUGCCGCGUGUAUGAAGAAGGCCUUCGGGUUGUAAAGUACUUUCAGCGGGGAGGAAGGGAGUAAAGUUAAUACCUUGACUCAUUGACGUUACCCGCAGAAGAAGCACCGGCUAACUCCGUG
rnacentral:rRNA from 1 species